GACAGAGGGUGCAAACGUUGUUCGGAAUUACUGGGCGUAAAGCGAGUGUAGGCGGUUUGGUAAGUCGGAUGUGAAAGCCCCGGGCUCAACCCGGGAAGUGCACUCGAUACUGCCAAGCUAGAGUGUCGGAGAGGUGAGUGGAACUGCGAGUGUAGAGGUGAAAUUCGUAGAUAUUCGCAAGAACACCAGUGGCGAAGGCGGCUCACUGGCCCGGUACUGACGCUGAGGUGCGAAAGCGUGGGGAGCAAACAGG
rnacentral:rRNA from 1 species